AGGAUUAUAGCUUAAUCGGUAAAGCGCGGUCUUGAUAAGACCGAUAGUAGAGGUUCAAGUCCUCUUGGUCCUA
rnacentral:tRNA from 1 species